UACAUGUUCCACUGCUUUGCCAAU
rnacentral:piRNA from 1 species